rnacentral:lncRNA from 1 species
AAUAAUCUUAAACCCUAUUCUUUGUCAAAACAUGGGACAAAGUGUGUUGGAAGCCUUGAACGUGCGAGUGGUGGGCUCUGGCGAGGAAAUCCUCGUCUUAGCCCAUGGCUUUGGCAGUGAUCAAUCGGCAUGGCAGCGCAUUCUUCCCUUUUUCUUGCGAGACUACCGCGUCGUCCUCUAUGACCUCGUCUGUGCUGGCAGUGUCAACCCGGAUUUCUUCGAUUUUAGUCGUUACUCGACCCUUGAUGCGCAUGUUGAUGACCUCCUCCACAUCCUAGAUGCCCUAGGGGUUGACCGGUGCGCCCAUGUCGGCCACUCCGUCUCGGCCAUGAUCGGGAUUCUCGCCGCCAUUAAACGCCCUGAGCUCUUCACUAAGCUUAUCCUCAUCGGUGCCUCUCCAAGGUAAGUACACCACAGCUUCAUAUCUGGAUGCACGUGUUUUCAUUAAUGUUGGACCACAAAUGGGAAUCUUUGUGUCUUUUUCUUGUUUUAAUUCAAUCCCCAUGAAGUGUAUGCCACAGUUUUCAACAUGGAAUUCAUGACUAUUUGACGAAAUUGAUCGGACUUAAUCCUCAAUUUUAUAUUCAAGACUUUUACCAGCGUACUUUUCAGGUUCUUGAAUGACAUGGACUACCACGGUGGAUUUGAAUACGGUGAAAUUGAGGAGGUAUUAUCUGCAAUGGAGGCCAAUUACGAGGCGUGGGUCAACGGCUUUGCACCGCUGGCGGUGGGGGCGGAUGUUCCGGUGGCAGUUCAAGAAUUUAGCCGUACUUUGUUCAAUAUGAGACCAGACAUAUCGUUAUUCGUAUCUCGCACUGCAUUUAACAGUGAUCUAAGAGGUGUUCUAGGCCUAGUAAAAGUGCCAUGUUCGAUAAUUCAAACCAUCGAGGAUGUCUCCGUCCCAAUGUCGGUGGCGAUGUACCUGAAGAACCACCUCGGGGGGCGGAGCACGGUGCACAUGUUGAACGUGGAGGGGCAUUUGCCACACCUGAGUGCACCAAAUUUGUUGGCCCAAGAACUCCGGCGAGCUCUAUCCCGGUGAGGUGAAGUUGGUCCAUAAGGGAAUGAAUAUGUUGUGGACAUGCUGAUUAUCUAGCAUUUGGGUUUUUUGAGAUAAUCUUAUUCUCUCAGAAAAGGAAUAAGAAUCUUCACGUGACUUUCACGUGAUGACGUGUUGCCUUUCUCCUUUUUUUGUUAUUUAUUUCUCUACCUUUCUUUCCUCCAUAAGAG